rnacentral:lncRNA from 1 species
ACUCACAUCGGUGAUAUCUCCAAGGGUAUACUGCAACUCUAUACCCUGCUAUAAUAGCCUUGAUAUCAUUAAGGCAUUACGCCAUCCUCCUGUCUAGUGCAGUUGAGCACCUGCUCCAUAGAGAUGGGUAGUGAACUGAGUUCACUUUAAAUUUGGUGCUCCUACCAGCCACUUAGUCAGCUUGUUUGUCCCAUUGAACCUACAUCUUGGGAUCUCCAGUCAGAUAGGUUGGGUUGCCGCUGACGGUGACUCAAAAAUAGGCUUUAAACCCAUCCCCCUCGAAGCAUAUUGAACUUGUCCUCUCGACAAGCCCUUGGUCAGAUGAUCUGCCAAGUUCUCCACUGAUUUAAUAUAACUUAAAGUUAUAACUCCAGUAGAGGUGAGCUUCCUUAAAAUUUUAUAUCGAA